rnacentral:rRNA from 1 species
AUACGGAGAGUUUGAUCGUGGCUCAGGGUGAACGCUGGCGGCGUGCCUAACACAUGCGAGUCGAGCGAUGAGGCCCCCUUCGGGGGG